UACGUAGGGCGCAAGCGUUGUCCGGAAUUAUUGGGCGUAAAGAGCUCGUAGGCGGCUUGUUACGUCGGUUGUGAAAGCCCGGGGCUCAACCCCGGGUCUGCAGUCGAUACGGGCAGGCUGGAGUGUGGUAGGGGAGAUCGGAAUUCCUGGUGUAGCGGUGAAAUGCGCAGAUAUCAGGAGGAACACCGGUGGCGAAGGCGGAUCUCUGGGCCAUUACUGACGCUGAGGAGCGAAAGCGUGGGGAGCGAACAGG
rnacentral:rRNA from 1 species